AUUAAAUACAGUUUAGAAUCUAGUUCCUCAGUCACGCUAGCCAUAGUUCAAGUGCUUAUAGCCCAUGUGACUGGUGGCAUUUGUCUUGGACGGCGCAGACCAUAGAGCGUUUUCAUCACUGCAGACAGUUCUGUGGGAUAGCACUGAUCUAAGACUGUAGAGAGCAAAUGGAAUGGAGGGGGUGGCCUAAGGACCAUCAGUAGAACAGGGGCUCCCUGGAGGAGGG
rnacentral:lncRNA from 10 species